rnacentral:lncRNA from 1 species
UUCACCAUUCUUAUUUCUUUCACUAUCUAGGGUUUCUUUUUUUCACAAAUAAUACGCCGUCGCAGUCUCGCCUAUCAAUCUCCCAUAUUCGAUCUCACCCUUCUUCCACCUUCCAUCUCUGGUCAACGAAGGCUUUCUGUCCGACGAUACUUGGCUAAUCUUUGGUUUUUGAGUUUCGAAUCUUCAUCUGGAUACUUUCAAUUUCUGCUUCAUAAGGUUUGAAAGGUGGAAUUGCAGGUUUAAAAGGGAUGGAUGUUUACAAGCGCUUAUGGAUGUUUAUCGUUUUUAUUGAUUAAUUGUCGAACUACUUUUGGAUUUUAUGUCUUGUUUUAAAUAUGGUUGA